rnacentral:lncRNA from 1 species
AUUUGAGAGUACUUAAGGAAAAGACAUGAUCAUUUAGAGCCAGCCUAAGUUUACCAAAAACAGGUUAAGCCACACUAACUUUAUUUUUCAGAUAAGAUUAGCAUAUUCGUAGUCUGGAAAAUGCUAUACAAAGAAUGUAAAGCAUGAAACUACUUGUGGACCAAAUGAAAAACUGUGGAGCAGAUUAUGAUGCAGUUAGACCUUGCUUGAAUGACUUUGACCCACAAAAGCAGAGUAAUUUAUCCCUACUUACAGAGAGAUUGCCCUACGUGUAACAGCUGCAUACAAAAAAGUUAUAAAAUUAUCAUUGGUUUAACAAGGAUAAGUGAAAAACAUUAAAAUUCUCCAACUGAACAAGGUGUGUCUGUUUCAUUGAUUGGCUGACUGUCAAAUCGGAAUCUGAUCUGCCCCAUUGACAAUGCCUUGGGCUUUUCCUCGGCCAUGGCAAAUGCCAGAGUCUUCUCAGCUGCCGCUUCACAAAAGAGGUACCAGCUUCUCACUGAACGAACACAGUGCAGCACCAGGAGUGACAGAAGAAGGAGGCGGCAGCGGUGGUUGAGGGACAGGGUGCGUGCACGUCCAAGUACAGUUCUUAAAAUGU